rnacentral:lncRNA from 1 species
GGGUUCAUGCUUCUCCCCGCCACCCCUCACACCACAGCCACACCGCCCGCGCCCGCCCGGGGGUGGUAUCUCCUCUCCUACGCCCUAACUGAACCAUCCCUUCCACCUCCGCCUAUCCUACAUACGCAGCGCCUAUUAUACGUACAACGCUAGCCGUGUUCAGUUAAUUACCGGCCGGAGCGCCUGGUGAAGGUUAGUUACCAUCACUAGAUUACAGCAAAUUAUACUAGUAGAACCAUCCCAUCCAUCAGACUAUUCCCUUUUUUGUUGGUAAUGGAAAUAGCCCAUGCUUUGGUUUGACGACAUUCAUGGAACAGUUAAUCAAACUUAGACUAACUGACUAGCCACUAGGUUAGGUUAAUUACCAUCACUAGCUAGAUUUACUAUGUGACAUUGGCCGACGCAAAAGGUUGAACGAGGGAGUACAGUAAGUGUGGCACAGUGGCGUCAUGGAUCGGCGGUGAAACCGGUCGGUAGAUCCGACAGCUUAGAGUAAACGGGAAUGAAGGGCGCACAUGACGCAAUUCAUUUAGAAUUUGAAAGCGGGGUGAUUUAUCUAGUGCUGGCGUCCCUAAUCUAAUGAAAAACGCUAAAGUACGCGUGAUCGGCCAGCUCGAUUAGCAAAGGAGGCCCGGACCUCCACAUCUUCACAUGGCUUUAAGGAAUAUGAGCAGGCAAAAGGGGGAAUUUAACCCACCCUGGACCCAGCAGAUCAGAUCGUGUGUAAUCGUUGAUCGUAAUGAUGCCAGAGACAAAACCCGCCUACGUACUCAUCAGACCAAUGAUUACGGUCUAAAUUACAUGUGUUCUAUUCUAGUAUGGUAAUAUUCAACUGGAACUGUUCGUCGCAUUUCCUGGCUUUCCGAAGAAUAAUCCAUCUUCCUUUGCCUUUAGAGUAUAUAUGUCUUAAAUCAAAGUCGAGGCAUAAUUCGAUAAACGAACCCGAGUCACCCUCCUAAGGCCCUGUUUGGAUCACCGUUUUCCUUCUAAAUACCCUUGUAAAAAAUACAUGUUCCAUUUCCAGACGGAAUUUGUUCAGCGGGCAGUAAGAUACAUGUGUAAAUUAUAACUUAUACACCUCUGUAUUAAAUUACAUCGAUUCCAAGCACGAUCUAAACUCUAAAGUUCAGAGAGACAGCUAUGUGACAGGCCACUAGUUGGGAUAACAAAGAUAAAUUAAAUUAACGAUCGGCAAUAGAUUAGCCGGGGUAGGAAUAAUCCUUACAACUUUGGGGGUGGUAUUGGGAUCAGACCUUGAGUGCCCGCAUUGCCAUACAUCCGUGGAGAUAUGGGUGGCCUCUGCGAGCUGCAAGCAAAGUAUACCACUUCAACCCGGGUACACAAAAAAAUAACUGCAUGCGAUUAAGAUAUGCCGAGACAUAUUCCGUUCAAAAGCGCCUCACGAAAAGUUGUUUAAUCACAAAGGGUUGCAGAGCUCAAUGGCAGUGUCGGUUCUGAUUAGAGGAGAAGAGGAAUCACGCAGAGGAAGAAGAAAAGAAGGCCUCAACAGUGUAGCCGAAAGGGUAGGCCACCCCCAACUUUCGAACCCCAAAAGGAGGCUGUUGUGCGCAAGUAUCUCGGGGCUUCCUCGAGAAUCGAUCUGCCGCUGCCCAAACAGGCCGGGAGGGAUGUCUGAACACCAGAUGAUGAAGCAAUACGAUACGAAUAAUGUAGUAGAUGACAGGGAAAUGCACGUAUGCUUUAUCUGUUUGCGGUGUAGACGGAGAAAGCUGAUCAACUUAUAUAUGGGAAAUGAAGUUUAUAUAUGUGUUCCUCCUGUAGCAGUCCGAAAACUCCGUGUUCCGUUCCCACCGGUGUCAUUUGCUUGACUGUGAUGAUUAAAAUCCAUAGGGGUAUAGGACCAUAUAUAAGUACCCCGUAAAGUAAAGCAGUCUAGGGCUUUAGGCAACUUGCAAACAUUUUGCUUAUGUCAGGUUCAGUCACUAUCUGAAGCUUUUACGGGUUUACUACUCUCUGAUUCGUCGGCCCUAGGCAAGUCUAGAUAUAAAUUCUGUUUAGCAUGAAAUGCUAUAUUCCAGAACAGUAAUAAUCAGUUAGAGAACUUUCUUGGAAACAGGGUACUAACGGUAAGAAUCAAAGCUCCAAAGGUGAGGUUCACUUGUAAUAAUAAAUAUGUAUGGUUAGCUAACGGAAGAUGUGUCAGAUUUACUCUAUAAAAUGGCAUUGCAGACACUGUUGCGUACAUGUAAACAUACUGCAUAUUCUUCAAAGAAAUUUUACAGACACAGAAAAAAGUAAGGAUUCAUGGUCUGGUCAUCAGAUUUGACUUACCAGUCCUGACAAAGUACUGAACUCAGCACCUGAUGACCGAUACUUCAUAGUCUUUGUGAUAAGGCUCGAGCCAAUCAACUGCAGGUUUGUGUUCACUAGAAAAAAGAUAACAACAAAGGGUGUGCUGCUGAGAUAAGAAUUCAGAGACUACGUUUGUGAGCGGGUAUAAAAACCCGUACUACCAUGCUAGCGUCUUCAACAACUUCAUAGCACUAUAGCAGCAACAAACAUAGAUCAUUAGUUAUAACUAGAAUUAGCUUUUAGAUCUGCUACUGCUUACUGGGAAACACAUGUUUUAAUGAUAACAGAACAUGUGACUACCUUAUGCUCUUUGGAUUUUAAGCCUAGAUCCUAGUAAAUAUAUAUUUCAUCGCUUGAGGCAGUAACUGUAACAACAAGACUGUCAAUUUAGAGAACAGGGAACAGGAUGGAAAGCAAACGUAAGUACUAGAGCACACACAAGGGGAGAAAACAAACGUGCGUCCUUGAUAUUCUCAUAGUAUAUCUUGUUUUACACAGAUCAGAUAAGAAUAACUUGGAUGAGCAAAUAAGUUCACAAAAAGAUGCAUGCCUACUGCCUACGGAGCUUGAAGCAGAACAAGCAAAAGCACAAAACGUGGGGAAAACAUGACAAAAAUGCAGUCUUGAGCACAGGAAAAGGAAUUAUGGAACUGAGGUCAACAUCGAACGGAAAGUUGGGCUAUUCCCUUUAAUCAUUGGAUACUUCAAAUAAAUUUGUAAGACAUGAUGAGGGAACUUGCACAUGUUUAACAUGCUUGUAUAUCUCAUGAUGAAACUGUGAGAAAGCAAGAAAUCUUGUUAGGUUCUUUUUUGAGUAUCAAAUCUUGUUGGCUUCAAAAUUUCUCCAACCUGACAUCGUAACAAUUUAGCGUUUACUGUAUGAUACAGUUCAAUAUGAAAUUAGGAACAUGCUGUGUGACCGCUGUCUUGAUUUUACUAUUGAUGGAAAAUUAUCUUUUACGAAACAACUGCGCUGAAAGGCUAAAGUAUAUUUGCAGAUAACCGUUUCUAAGCAGAAAAGAUCAGCUGCUUAAGUGGUCGGUUCCUCUUGAAAGAAGUAACGUCAUGAUACCAGCAUCAGGGUAUCCAGCACCAUGAAAGGCGAAAAGGAUGAUAAGGAUAAAAAGAAGCAGUCGUUUUCAGUUCUGCUGCAAAACAAAAUGGCACCAUUGUAAGUACUAGUACCUCAUAAUUAGCUGCAUGAACUCAUAGUGAGGAUAAAGAUGAAGUCAAAAGAGGUCAGAUGUAGGAUACAACGUCAAAAGAAGCUGCCUGAACUCAUCAUAGUGAGGAUAAAGAUGUAGUGAGAUGCAUAUGGGCUUUCGAUCCUAUUUUUCAGCCAUCUGUCCCCAUAUAACAUGAUCUGCUGAAUUAAGUUCAUGAAGAGUUGGCAGUCAUAGUGGUGUGUAAAAGGUUCACACUGAAGCAUUGUCCACUUUUUACUUACCAUGGAAUACAUUUCAAUUACGC